rnacentral:rRNA from 1 species
GAUGAACGCUGGCGGCGUGCUUAACACAUGCAAGUCGAACGGUGAAGGCGGAGCUUGCUCUGCUGGAUCAGUGGCGAACGGGUGAGUAACACGUGAGCAAUCUGCCCCUGACUCUGGGAUAAGCGCUGGAAACGGCGUCUAAUACGGGAUACGAGCGGCGAAGGCAUCUUCAGCAGCUGGAAAAAAUUUCGGUCAGGGAUGAGCUCGCGGCCUAUCAGCUUGUUGGUGAGGUAAUGGCUCACCAAGGCGUCGACGGGUAGCCGGCCUGAGAGGGUGACCGGCCACACUGGGACUGAGACACGGCCCAGACUCCUACGGGAGGCAGCAGUGGGGAAUGUUGCACAAUGGGCGAAAGCCUGAUGCAGCAACGCCGCGUGAGGGACGACGGCCUUCGGGUUGUAAACCUCUUUUAGCAGGGAAGAAGCGAAAGUGACGGUACCUGCAGAAAAAGCGCCGGCUAACUACGUG